CCUACGGGUGGCAGCAGUCGAGAAUCAUUCACAAUGGGGGAAACCCUGAUGGUGCGACGCCGCGUGGGGGAAUGAAGGUCUUCGGAUUGUAAACCCCUGUCAUGUGGGAGCAAAUUAAAAAGAUAGUACCACAAGAGGAAGAGACGGGUAACUCUGUGCCGGCAGCCGCGGUAAUACAGAGGUCUCAAGCGUUGUUCGGAACCACUGGGCGUAAGGGGGGCGUAGGCUGUUUCGUAAGUCGUGUGUGAAGGGCGCGGGCUCAACCCGCGGACGGCACAUGAUACUGCGAGACUAGGGUAAUGGAGGGGGAACCGGAAUUCUCGGUGUAGCAGUGAAAUGCGUAGAUAUCGAGAGGAACACUCGUGGCGAAGGCGGGUUCCUGGACAUUAACUGACGCUGAGGCACGAAGGCCAGGGGAGCGAAAGGGAUUAGAUACCCGAGUAGUC
rnacentral:rRNA from 1 species